UUAAUACUCCCUCCGUCCGGAAAUACUUGUCGAAGGAAUGGAUGUAUCUAGAUACAUUUUAGUUCUAGAUACAUUCAUUUCUAUCCAUUUUGCGACAAGUAAUUCCGGACGGAGGGAGUAUCAG
rnacentral:pre_miRNA from 1 species